rfam:Felis catus isolate Cinnamon breed Abyssinian chromosome A2, whole genome shotgun sequence.
UGCUUGCUCUUCCUGUGGCGGUGAAGGCGAGUAUGUAUCCCUGCGGUUGCCACUGAGUCUAGAGCUGCCUUUAGGGAGCUGUGGGUAGCACAGGCCUCCUUCCUCAGGGAUGGUGAAGACAUCAUCACAGUUGGGCAGACUGGUGAGGCAGCCAGGAGCCCAGGGCUUCCAUGACACAGCCCCAACUCUGUACUUUGUGGAAUCUGGUAAAAAUGUUCCAGAGUUGUUUUGGAUACCUGCUUGGCAUGUUCUUAAUAGAUUGAUUACCAAUGACAACUUUAAUAUUUCUGACCUCAUUUGAUCUGUUUUUUG